CUCGUAGGCGGUUCGUCGCGUCCGGUGUGAAAGUCCAUCGCUUAACGGUGGAUCCGCGCCGGGUACGGGCGGGCUUGAGUGCGGUAGGGGAGACUGGAAUUCCCGGUGUAACGGUGGAAUGUAUAGAUAUCGGGAAGAACACCAAUGGCGAAGGCAGGUCUCUGGGCCGUUACUGACGCUGAGGAGCGAAAGCGUGGGGAGCGAACA
rnacentral:rRNA from 1 species